UACGAAGGGGGCAAGCGUUGUUCGGAAUUACUGGGCGUAAAGGGCGCGCAGGCGGCCAAUCAAGUCAGAUGUGAAAGCCCCGGGCUCAACCUGGGAAUAGCAUUUGGGACUGGUUGGCUAGAGAUCGGGAGAGGAGAGUGGAAUUCCCAGUGUAGAGGUGAAAUUCGUAGAUAUUGGGAAGAACACCGGUGGCGAAGGCGGCUCUCUGGACCGAUACUGACGCUGAGGCGCGAAAGCCAGGGGAGCAAACGGG
rnacentral:rRNA from 1 species